UUAUAUUAAAUACAGGUAAAAUUCUCAGGCGAUCUUAUUUAUAAUUUUAAAUCUAAAAUUUUGCACAGGCAAAACCGCGUGCAAUAGUAGUGACAUUAACGUAAUGUGAUGAAACUUACUUUUUACCUUAGACCCAACAGGGUAUUGAGCUGGCAACGUCCCAUAGGUUCACUUCACGACCUUGACGACGGUCAAUAGGAAGAGCGGCAACGUCGGUUGUAAUAUGUCAAAUCAUAAAUAAGGCUUCUAUCAAAUACUCAUAACAAUGGAGGUACACGAGUGUACUUUGUUUACCGUUGUUUACUUUUCUUGACGUAAGUGAAGACGCUAUUUCAAGAAAUUUGAAGUGCUAAUUCAUUAAAAUAUGUACGCUUUCAUGACUGUGCCUCAACUUAAAGUUGAGGUUCGUAAAAGAAAUGCGUCAAUUGCCGGAAAAAAAGGCUAAUUUGAUAGAAAGAUUGCAAUCUAAUGACCGGAAUAAAAAUUUUGGUGUUGACUGCGAGAUCCAAGAGGAGAUCGCAUAUCUGAGUCCAGCCACUGAUACUUUCAGAGACAUAAUUGCGGACACUUCUUUACCAAUGAUUACGAGACAAGCAAUACAGGAAUAUUUUGAAAGUUAUGUACCCAUAUGUAAUGAUUAUAAUCUUAGGCAGUUGUUUACAAAGAUGACAGUGUAAAUUUUAUGUAUUUAAAUUGAUAUAAUACUCAGCAUAAAGGACAACUCCUGUACGAAUUUCGACAUCUUGUGACUGCCCGCUAUUCCACAGAUGGCAUUUAUACCCACUUGCGAGGACAAUGUAAAGCCAGUAUGAAAAAAAUGACAUGUGAACCCGCAAAUCCACAUGGCAUUGAAUGGGAUCGUUACACCUAUGUAGAUAGGACUCCAAUAGAUAUUUUACUAGAGAAGCUAUUAUUAAAAAUAUUAUAUCUGAACAAAUUCAGGAAGUGAGAAGAAUACAAGAGCCCAAAGUGAUUCCUCUGAGUGGCAUGAAAGAUCAUGCAGGAUUACUGCCAGUAUGUUUCAUUUAGUGUGCCACAGUAAAGCAUAUAAGUACCAAAAAUAUAUGUAAUCGAUAUGAUUUUGGCCCCUAAAGCUGUGCAGACUAUGUUAGUUGUGCAUAGUAAAAUCCAAGAAACUAUUUCCAUUGCCAAAUAUGAUAGAGAUUAUGGACUAAAAAUAAAAAAGUGGAUUCAUUAUAUCAUUUGAAUAUCCUUUUCUGGCUGUUUCUCCAGACGGUAUAUUGGGUAAAGAUACUAUUGUUGAGGUUAAGUGUCCAUAUGCUGCUAGAUAUUAUAAAAUAACCUCUGUGACUGUGCCUUACUUAAAAAUACUUAAUGGAGAAUUACAUUUAAAAAGCAGCAUCCAUAUUAUGCCCAAAUCCAAGGCCAACUUUAUUGUUCGGGGGACGCAAUAUUGCAAUUUUAUUGUUUACACAUUUGAGGAUAUGAAAAUAAUAUUCAUUAAUAGAGAUGACUCAUUUAUUAAUGGCAUGUUGACAAAUUUGUUAAACUUUUAUGUACAUAAUUUAGAACCAGAAAUGUAAAUAAGUAUGUGUAUAAGAACUAUUUACAAUUAAUAAAUAAAUUGAAAUAA
rnacentral:misc_RNA from 1 species